UCGCGCUAGACGGGGAGUUAGCGGUGCCCUGUACCCGCAAUCCGCUACAGCGGGGUCGAACUCCCCUCCUAGGGGGGGCGUUUCCGGGUCAGCUCUGAUCAUCCGGGUGCCGACGGUCGGGUCCGACGCGGCCGGUUACCGCCAACCCCGUCAGGUCCGGAAGGAAGCAGCGGCACGCGGAGCGACCGGGGCGCCGUCGGGCACCCCGGCCCGAGCCCGGUGGUCGGUAGGCGCCGGGGGCGGUCCCACGAAGAGGGGUGCGCGA
rnacentral:SRP_RNA from 1 species